rnacentral:rRNA from 1 species
UGGGGAAUCUUGCACAAUGGGCGCAAGCCUGAUGCAGCCAUGCCGCGUGAGUGAAGAAGGCCCUAGGGUUGUAAAACUCUUUCAGCGGGGAAGAUAAUGACUGUACCCGGUAAAGAAGUCCCGGCUAACUCCGUGCCAGCAGCCGCGGUAAUACGGAGGGGACUAGCGUUGUUCGGAAUUACUGGGCGUAAAGCGCGCGUAGGCGGGCUGGUCAGUCAGGGGUGAAAUCCCGGGGCUCAACCCCGGAACUGCCCUUGAUACUGCCAGCCUUGAGUUCUGGAGAGGUGAGUGGAAUUCCGAGUGUAGAGGUGAAAUUCGUAGAUAUUCGGAGGAACACCAGUGGCGAAGGCGGCUCACUGGCCAGACACUGACGCUGAGGUGCGAAAGCGUGGGGAGCAAACAGGAUUAGAUACCCCGGUAGUCC